UUGUUCUGGCGUUUUUAAACCAGUAGUUUUAUUAAUUUCGCGCGGAAUGCAGUUCGUGAAAUAAGCUCUAAAUGAAAAAAUAACCGAUUUAAGUAAAUAAUUGUGUUCAUUGUAAAUCUGCUCAUCUAAACAUACAAGGCGGAACCAAUCGAUCACAGAGAGCGAUCGCUGCUGACAACGUCAGCAGCACUUACAUUCAGAUUACAAUAAUAUUUCACAUUAUUACAUUCAGAUUACAAUAAUAUUUCACAUUAUAAGUGUUUUUAUAUCAAAUAAAUGCAGCCUUGGUGAGCAGAAUAGAUUUAUUUAAUUAUUUAAUAUUAUUUAUAUAAUAAGGCUAGUUUGUGCAGUUACAUCUAUGUCAAUUGAUCGUUAGAAGGGAUUAAAAUUGAUUGUGUUAUGUUCUGUAAUUGUUGUUAAUAAAUCUUUCAGAAGAAAGUGUGUAAAAGUUUGACUACAGUAACCAUAUCUAACCAAGCUUCAUGUACCAAGAUAAUUAUUUCAUUUAUUUCUCAUCAGAUCAACUGUUCAUUUAUGCAGUUUAUGCUUUAUUUAUAGGUAGCAUAACUGUUACCUUUUUGUUUACAGUUCUGCAUAUAUAAUAUGACAAACCUAGGAGACUUUGCUGUAAGAGAAUUAAUCAUGUUUUUGUUUUCUUUUCUCAGGUCCGGUCAGUACCCACCACCCUUCCCUGUUAACAUCACCCACAGUUUAUACUUUUUCUUAGAAAACCAACGGCUCUUUUAAGAGCCACUUCAAUAAUCAACUCACUCACUCACUCUCCUCAAAAAUGCCAGGCCAGGGGUCAACAACUAGAAAGUGUGUGGUCUGCCAUACACAACUAAAUGUAGCUUGCAAAACCUGCAACACAUGCAAGGUAGAGCAGCCACAUAAGCUUCGGCUAAAAAAGAACUGAAGAAAUUUGAUCAGAAGCGGGAGAGCUGGGUGCAUGAUGAAGAUAUGCUGGUAUGAAAUUGCGAUUAUUGUUUUAUAUACAUACAUACAUACAACAUAUAUAUGUUAUUUUGCGUGUUUGUUAUGUUUUGUAUUUGUCAAGGCCUGGAAGAAAACCAAAUGCUUGGGGUUCUGAGGUUCUGACACCCCGUUGUCACUUGACUGAGACAUCCAUUACAUGCUUGGAAAGAUUAAAGAACCUAUUCAAGGCGGGACCUCACAAGGUGUUGCAGAACAAGUCAAUAAAACCUCAUCAGCCCGAGUUGAAUCCAAAUGGACCAACCUGAUCUCCAGGUACCAGUGGCCCUGCCUCAUACCAGAGCAGCUCCAAAUGGACCACCAGCAGCCCUUAUUGCACCACCAAAGUCCCCAAUUUGACAGCCAGUAUCCCUUUUAGUACCCUCAGGACACCAUGCAAACCCACUGCAACAAUCUGGGAAAAGAAACCCAUUACCCAGAUGGACCCCCAAGAGCCUCCCCAGUUUCUCUUAAAAAAGAUGGUGUGAAAGAAGGCUUUCCAGCUCUGACUACAGUGCGGCCAGAUCAAAGGAAAGGGCCAGAAAUGGAAGCAGGUGGAGUGGGAGCCGUGCAAACUUUGGUAUGUACAACGUCUCAGUCAUGCCAAUGAGAAGUGGCAUGUUCACUGUUAAUUUUAAUCUGUUGUCAGUAUAUUUAAUUGCCACUAACACCUACUGUCCACAAUUAACAUGCAAAACAAUUUAGGCAAAUAAUGAAAUUAAGGUAGUAUGCCCAAACUAAAUGGCCUACGUGAAGUCAUAGUUCUGAGGAUUUGUCAACCCAUUAAACUCCUUGUAGAAGAUUAGGUCGAGACAAAAUGUAAGAUUUUGGCAUCAUUGCAAAAUGAGCUUUCCUUGUCUCUAGGUAUUUAUAUAGAUUUACCUUGCUCAUGUGCUUUUCUUUAAAGUCUCAUUCUAGUCAAGAAUUGUAUCAGUUAAAAUGCAUCUUUGAACAUCAUAAUAAAAAAUAAUAAUAUAAUAUAAUAAUAUAAAAAAAGUUUUGCUUGUCACAUUGUAUGCGCAGAUCUAUGAAUAUGCUAAUCUACUCAGUUGCACAGCUAAAACAUCUGUAUGUAGCAUCUACUUACAUGUAUAUGGUCUAAGACCAUUGGUCACCAAUCCUGGUCCUGAAGGGACGGUGUCUCUGCAGAUUUUAGCUCCAACCCUAAUCAAACACACCUGAAGGACCAGGAUUGGUGACCACUGUCUAGACGCAUAACUGCUGAGCUUAGACUAUAUAUACACAUACAUACAUACAUACAUACACACAUUCAUACAUGCAUACAUACUACUGAUGCACGCGUUCAACUGUGUUGAUGUGAUUGGUUAUAUUAUGUUUGUGACGUUGGAAACGCAGGUGAUUUUAAACUACGGGGAAUUAGACUGCGGAAUAUUUUCUCCAUAUAAUUAAAGACAAAGUUGUUGAAUAAUGAAUUUGCACAUGGCUUGUCUUUAAUUGUUAAAAACACCAAAUUGAGACAUAAACAAUGUUAACAUUGUGAUUCAUUUAUCACAUAUGUUGUCUUAAAGUUAAAUGUGAACUUCACAUUCCUCUCUUUGGAGUUACCAGAACAAAAUGCAAUAAGUCAAGUAAUGCUUUAACACAAAAUUGAUGUAAAAGAACAAUGAAGGCUUUCUUUUGCAUUGUUGACUUGCAUAUCCUACUGUGAUUUAAUAAAACCCCACCAAAACACAGCUUUAGGAAAACAGCUGAAGUUUUAAUGUGUGUCUUAAAGGAAAACACCACCAUUUUCAAUAUUUACUAUGUAACUUAGACAAAUGAAUACAUAUCUUUUUUCAAUGCAUGCACUUAAUCUUUGUACAGUGCUUCUUGAAUGCUUUAGCAUUUAGCCUAGCGCCAUUCAUUCCUUAGGAUCCAAACAGGGAUGAAUUUAGAAGCCGCCACAACACUUCCAUGUUUUCCAUAUUUAAAGACUCUUACAUGAGUAGUUACACGAGUAAGUAUGGUGGCACAAAACAAAACAUGGAAAGUGUGGAAACCAUGGAAGUGUUUGGUGGCUCCUAAAUUGAACCCUGUUUGGAUCCUAAGGAAUGAAUGGGGCAAGGCUAAAUGCUAACACAUUCAAGAAGCGUUGUACAAAGACUAAGUGCACGCGUUGAAAAAAGAUAUGUAUGUAUUCAUCUAAGUUGAGGUAAGAACAUAGUAAAUAUUGAAAAACUGUGGUGUUCUCCUUUAAUGUGUCUACAGUUUAUUUGCCCAACCAAACAUGUAAUUGCAUUUUUUCUUUUUGUGUUACAGAUAAAAUAAGUGGCCAUUGAAGUGGGUGGCGGAUGGGGACACUUGUUAGUGCUUCGGCAUCUUCUUGGGGACCUGAUACAAUAAGAAGCACUAUUAUUUUCUCUGUGUAACUUGUUUUUCUUUUAUGUUUUAAACAAACCAUUGUUUCCUGGACCCUUUUAUUGCUCCUCCUUUCACUUGCUUUUUUGCUCUUUUUUGGAUAUUAAUACUGAAUACUGUUAAAACUGUUUUGCAACCAAAUUAUUGUCAAUUUAACUGUUUUAAUUGAUGUUAUAUCCUACUGUGAUGUAAUGAUGUUAAGUACAGUGAGUCUAUUUACUUUACUUUUUUCAAUAAACAUUGAGGAAUU